rnacentral:misc_RNA from 2 species
ACACCUCAACUCUCAUGGUUUGCCAUGAUGAGCUUGGACUUUGGGGGUUUUGCUGGCCUAUGGUCAGCUCCUCUCAAAUAAAUCAGCUUGCCAGUGUUUGGUGGCAUCACAGGUGUGAUAACUAUCUACGCUUGUUGUUGUACACCAGGUAACCUUCAGAGAUGGAGGUUCGCUGGAGCUCAUAGACGUCUCUCCUCAGUGAGGACAGCUUUUUUAAC